rnacentral:precursor_RNA from 16 species
CCGGUAUUCUGGAAUUUGAGGCUCACUUUCAAAAAGCAAAAAGUUGCAAUAUCGGUAUACGACGUUACGUAGAUAUUGCACUAAUUUGCUUUUGAAAGUGGUACCUACCAUUCAUCCAUCUCUUU